AGUGACCUUUGAGGAUGUUAAUGUGAAGUUCACCAAGGAGGAGUGGGCUUUCCUGGAUCCGACCCAGAAGAAACUCUACACAGAUGUGUUGCUAGAAACCUUCUGGAACCUGGCAUCAGUAGUGUGUAUUUUAGAAGAAAAAUGUGAAGACCAUGAUGGUGAAGAUCAGUAUGAAAAUCAUGGGAUGAAUCUUAGCAGUCAUGUGGUAGAGAGACUCUGUACAAGGAAGGAUGGUGGUCAAUGCAGAGAAAACUUCAGCCACACUCCAAA